rnacentral:lncRNA from 1 species
CUGGAUUAACAGUACUGUACCUGUAGAGGUAUCCACUGCCGGUUCCUCCCUUGGUAGAGCAAGCCUAUUGGUGCCUUGAAUUCUUGUCCUUGUUUCAAUUAAUGGCUUAUCGACUAGGGAAUUGUCUGUUUGGUCCUCCUCACCAGCAGGGGCUGCUACUGUGGUGCUACUCUGAGGCAGGAAUCCCGACCCUGACCCUUCGAUGUCUGAAUUCAUCCUGACUAUUGUAGGUGCAGCAGAACUGGUGGUUGAGGUGAAGGCCAGCUCUGUAUUCAUCUUCGCAGCCCCGCCUUCCUCCAAGCCUGUCAUACUGGUUAGUUUAGAACUAGGUGUAUGGCUGGUCCCUCGACUUUGGCUAGGUCUGGAGGUGGUACUAAAGCUUGGAUCAUGGCUAAGAGGUAACAGGUCUUCUUCUUCAAACUCUGAGAUGGGACUAUGGCUGGGGCUGGGAUCCGGUACACGACUAGGGCUGGGGACAAAGUUUGGUCUGAAUAUAUCGUCCUUGAACUCCUCUAGCUCUGUUGUGGUGCUAGCAUCAUGAGUUGGAUAAGGACUGGGGCUGGGGUUAGGGUCAAGGAUUGCGUUAACAUCCUCCAAAUCCAUCUGAAAAUCUGUGGUGGGGUUAAACUCUGCUGUGGGGACAAACUCUGCUGUGGGGAGAAACUCUGCUGUGGGGACAAACUCUGCUGUGGGGACAAACUCUACUGUGGGGCUUUCAGUAUCCAGGAUCAGGCCCAUUUCAUCUUCCUCUGAUGAAUCAGGUCUAUCACUUGGAUUGGAAUCAUAGUCGUACUUUUCAUAAUUGUCCUCUGUGUUGCUUUGACUGGGAUGAGGAGUUGGACUGGGGUGAGGAAUUGGACUGGAGCGGAGGUUAAAGUUAGGUUUAAGGUUGGCGUCAAACAGCUCCCCUUCGUCGUCUUGUCCCGAAGUGGAGUCUUUCAUGCUGCCUUCUGUAGUGCUGCCCUCUGUCUCAUCUGUGCUGCACUCCUCUGGGUCAAAGGUGGGCAGCUGGUCUUCCGGGUCAGAUGUCACAGGGUCAGGGGUCACCAGAUGAUCUAGGUCCAGUGUUUCAUCACUGCUGGAUGUUCCAUUGUUGGCAUCCGGGGGACCCACUACAAGCUUAUUGAAGAACUUGAAAGUUUCCCCAAUAAAAUCUCCAGCAGCCAGAGCUGGAAGUUCUG